GAGGAGCCAAUUGUGCCUUAACAAGACCCUGAACAGCUUCACCUGGACCUGGGUGGAGCAGCCUCAUCCCCUGCCUGGGUGGGGUCUAUAUAAAUUCAGCCUGGGGGAGGCUCCUGCUUUUUCCUGGGAGCAAUGUGAUGGGUUCCUCUUCCUUGAGGUUUGAGCUCUGUAAAUGGCCUAGGUGAGAAAGUGGUACGUUCAUUUGUUCUGAAGAUUUUCCAGAAGCAGAGUCCGAAGGAACUAACCUUAUUUCAUGAACAAAGUUGGCCAACGUAAAUAUUUGCAGAGUUCAAAGUGAACACAAGGAAGCAACUUUCAAUGAAAUAUGUUCUUUUCAUGAAGCAAAAUUACGUGAAUAACAGUCAUUUUCCCAGAAGAAAAAUUGACUGAGAGCCAUUAAAUGCAAAAACACCACCUGAAGCUCAAGGAGUUCCUUAGCUUCAGACUGAUGCAAGCUGAAUGAUUUUCCUGGCAGCUCACCCAUCAUCUUCCCAGAAAAACAUCUGCAACCUGCUGAGCCCAAGGCUGUAGGAUCUGAAACCCUUUUCACAGUGUCUGAUUGGUUGAGGGGCUGGAGAGGAUGCCUGUGCAGCUCAGAGUUUCUCUGCCUUGUGAGC